AGCUUGCUACUUUGCUGACGAGCGGCGGACGGGUGAGUAAUGCUUGGGAACAUGCCUUGAGGUGGGGGACAACAGUUGGAAACGACUGCUAAUACCGCAUAAUGUCUACGGACCAAAGGGGGCUUCGGCUCUCGCCUUUAGAUUGGCCCAAGUGGGAUUAGCUAGUUGGUGAGGUAAUGGCUCACCAAGGCGACGAUCCCUAGCUGGUUUGAGAGGAUGAUCAGCCACACUGGGACUGAGACACGGCCCAGACUCCUACGGGAGGCAGCAGUGGGGAAUAUUGCACAAUGGGCGCAAGCCUGAUGCAGCCAUGCCGCGUGUGUGAAGAAGGCCUUCGGGUUGUAAAGCACUUUCAGUCAGGAGGAAAGGUUAACGGUUAAUACCCGUUAGCUGUGACGUUACUGACAGAAGAAGCACCGGCUAACUCCGUGCCAGCAGCCGCGGUAAUACGGAGGGUGCGAGCGUUAAUCGGAAUUACUGGGCGUAAAGCGUACGCAGGCGGUUUGUUAAGCGAGAUGUGAAAGCCCCGGGCUCAACCUG
rnacentral:rRNA from 1 species